rnacentral:rRNA from 1 species
AGUCUACGGGAGGCAGCAGUGAGGGAUAUUGGUCAAUGGGCGUAAGCCUGAACCAGCCAAGUAGCAUGCAGGAUGACGGCCCUAUGGGUUGUAAACUGCUUUUAUGCGGGGAUAAAGUGGCCCACGUGUGGGUUUUUGCAGGUACCGCAUGAAUAAGGACCGGCUAAUUCCGUGCCAGCAGCCGCGGUAAUGACU